AUUGAACGCUGGCGGCGUGGCUAAAGCGUGCAAGUCGAACGGGUCCGCAAGGACCAGUGGCGGAAGGGUCAGUAACACGAUCGAACGUGCCCCGAGGUGGGGGAUAGCGGCGGGAAACUGCCGGUAAUACCCCAUGAUCUCUCCGGAGCAAAGGUUUACCGCCUUGGGAUCGGCGAUCGUCCUAUCAGCUAGUUGGCGGGGUAACGGCCCACCAAGGCUAUGACGGGUAGCAGGUGUGAGAGCACGACCUGCGACAUCGGGACUGAGACACUGCCCGGACUCCUACGGGAGGCUGCAGCGACGAAUCUUCCGCAAUGGGGGCAACCCCGACGGAGCGACGCCGCGUGUGGGAUGAAGCGCCUACGGCGUGUAAACCACUGUCAGGGGACAGAACCAAUGAUCGUCCCCAGAGGAAGAGACGGCUAACCCUGUGCCAGCAGCCGCGGUAAGACAGGGGUCUCGAGCGUUAAUCGGAAUCACUGGGCUUAAAGGGUGCGUAGGCGGACCGACACGCGUCCCG
rnacentral:rRNA from 1 species